CAGUCGCCGCGGGAAUACGAAGGGGGCUAGCGUUGUUCGGAUUUACUGGGCGUAAAGCGCACGUAGGCGGACUUUUAAGUCAGGGGUGAAAUCCCGGGGCUCAACCCCGGAACUGCCUUUGAUACUGGGAGUCUUGAGUUCGAGAGAGGUGAGUGGAAUUGCGAGUGUAGAGGUGAAAUUCGUAGAUAUUCGCAGGAACACCAGUGGCGAAGGCGGCUCACUGGCUCGAUACUGACGCUGAGGUGCGAAAGCGUGGGGAGCAAACAGGAUUAGAUACCCCCGGUAGUCCCUGUCUCUUAUA
rnacentral:rRNA from 1 species